UACAGAGGAUGCAAGCGUUAUCCGGAAUGAUUGGGCGUAAAGCGUCUGUAGGUGGCUUUUUAAGUCCGCCGUCAAAUCCCAGGGCUCAACUCUGGACAGGCGGUGGAAACUACCAAGCUGGAGUACGGUAGGGGCAGAGGGAAUUUCCGGUGGAGCGGUGAAAUGCGCAGAUAUCAGGAGGAACACCAAUUGCGAAGGCAGCUCGCUGGGACGUUACUGACGCUGAGACGCGAAAGCGUGGGGAGCAAACAGG
rnacentral:rRNA from 1 species